UGAGGAAGUCCGGUGCGAAUCCGGCGCGGUCCCGCCACUGUCACCGGGGAGCGUUCCUCCAGCGAAGGCCACGGUCCGCCUCGCGUACGUCCGAUGACGUACGCAGGGACUGGAAGGCCGGAGGACUCGCCGAUCCGGGAGCCAGGAGACUC
rnacentral:ncRNA from 2 species